rnacentral:rRNA from 1 species
GACAGAGGUGCCGAGCGUUAGGCGGAAUCACUGGGCUUAAAGCGUGUGUAGGCGGAUCCGUAAGUACCUUGUGAAAUCCCACGGCUCACCCGUGGAAUUGCUCGGUAUACUGCGGGUCUUGAGCCACCUAGGGGCGAGCGGAACAAACGGUGGAGCGGUGAAAUGCGUAGAUAUCGUUUGGAACGCCAAUGGUGAAAACAGCGUCGCUGGGGGUGUGCUGACGCUGUGACACGAAAGCCAGGGGAGGCAAACGGG